CUCCACCGCCUGCUUGUUUCGCCAUGCCCGGGCCGGACGGUGGGGCUGCAGCGGCGAAAGCGACUGAAGUCCGGGAGCAGUCGCAUGAGCUUCCCGGUCACCAGGAGGCCCCGGGAACAGACACCUCACCCUGACAUUGUGGCAGGAACUUCUGGAUUGCUUUCCAAAGUGGCUGCACUGUUUUCUAUCCCCACUGGGCAGGAAAACAUCUAAGAAAGGAGGCUCCCCCCUUCCCUUGCAGGGUUACCAGCAAUUAAAAAGAAGUACUAGAGAGGCAAAUAUCGGCAGUAUACAUCUAAGCGCUGGUCGGAAAAGAAGGAACUCAGCCCAAGAACUUGCCCAAUCUGAUACUGGAGGUGCCACUCAAGAACCACUCCCUCCAAGAUGUUUUCCUGGAUUUCCUCAGCCUAAAGUAAUCCCUCUUUUUCCUGGCUAUACCAUCUGGAACAGAUGACUUCCAAGGACACCGUAGCAAAGAAAAAGAGAACUGGAAGCCCAUGUGCCUUAAUCGCUUCAUCCUAGAGGGCGCAGCAGUCUGGAAAUAGAAACAAUGGUGGUGGAUCAAUUCAAUUGAUCCAGAUUUGGAAGUUGCGUGGCAAGUGAGAAGGAUUUGGAUGGUAAUGAUGAAUGUGUUUCUCACAAACUUGGGGGCCCAUCUGGGAUCUCUGUGCCUGCGUGGAGUUGGACUCCAGCCAAGAGGGGAGAGGCGUCCCACCUGAUUUAAGUGGCCUGCUCUGUCUGGGAAUCCCGGCUCCCUGCAGAGGCCAUAGACAAACCUGAGACUGUUAUUCAGGAGGCAGUGGAGGUGACACAGGGAGAAAAGCAGGCACCGUGGCAACCAGGCAACCUCAUGUACGAGCCAAGGAGAAGAAGCAGCAGACACCAAUGCAGGAUUGGUCUUCCACUUCCAGUCUGGACAAGAUAGCAUAGACUCAUUUCUCCCUGCUUCUCCCAGAUGGAGUCUUGCUCUGUUGCCCAGGCUGGAGUGCAGUGGCACGAUGUUGGCUCACUGCAACUUCUGCCUCCCAGGUUCAAGCGAUUCUACCACCUCAGCCUCCCGAGUAGCUGAGACUACAGGGAAACUUGACUGAGAGGAAGAGAAAGCUAAAGAAGUAUCAAAUUCCUCUCUAAGACAUCUUCACUAGUCUUCCAGAACAUCUCCGCCUUGGGAAGCAGAACUCUGAGGUCCAGGAAGACCUUCCGACCAAUCCACUGAGACAUUGCUACGGCUGCCUCCUCUUCACUUUCUGGCCUCUUGAGCCAACAUCCAACAUGAUCUUCAUGAGAGGUUGCCGGUUACCUUUCUAAAAACGUAUUUGACCAGAUUUCUUCAUGAUAUUUCAAAAUGUAAAGGCAGAAAACAAGUUAAACUUUAAACAAAUUUAAAUUUAAACAAUCUAAAAGGGAAUUUAAGUAAGCGUAUGACUUUGUUGCAGAGGUUCUAGGCUUCCUUUUUUACAAAAGGAUGGGAAAUUUUAAAGCAACUGCUCUGACUAACCCAGAAAAAUCUUUCUUUGUUUAUCUCCUUUGUAUUUAGCCCCAAUAUCUGAGAAAAUUUUAAACAUAGUUUUUUUUUCUAGGAUUGGUGCCUAAGGGUCAUUCCCUUACGAAAACCCUAACUUUUUUUACACCUUUGUUGAAUGAAGGAGCUGGUGGAAGUUCAAAUUUGUGUGUUAACAUGUGACUUCAAUUAGAGUCUGAAGAUGGCCACUUGUUAGUAAUCUCACACUGCAUCAUUUUAAAAAAACACAGCAUUUUUGUUCUGGUGAAGAGAGAGGCACUGGAAUUCAUCCCCAUUGUCCACUCCCCACCCAGUGUAUUUUACAGAAAUUCUUAACAAGUUUAAUAGUGUGCUAUUAUAACAUAAUUGCAGCAUUACACCAGAAGCAUUAUCAACACUAAGUAUUCUCCAAUUUAGAAUGCAUGAAUAAAGUCUCUAAAACUCUU
rnacentral:lncRNA from 1 species